rnacentral:rRNA from 1 species
CCUACGGGGUGCAGCAGUGAGGAAUAUUGCACAAUGGGGGAAACCCUGAUGCAGCGACGCCGCGUGAGUGAGGAAGUAUUUCGGUAUGUAAAGCUCUAUCAGCAGGGAAGAAAAUGACGGUACCUGACUAAGAAGCCCCGGCUAACUACGUGCCAGCAGCCGCGGUAAUACGUAGGGGGCAAGCGUUAUCCGGAUUUACUGGGUGUAAAGGGAGCGUAGACGGCUAAUCAAGUCAGAAGUGAAAACCCAGGGCUCAACCUUGGGACUGCUUUUGAAACGGAGUAGCUAGAGUGCAGGAGAGGUAAGCGGAAUUCCUAGUGUAGCGGUGAAAUGCGUAGAUAUUAGGAGGAACACCAGUGGCGAAGGCAGCCUGCCAAGCCAUGACUGACGCUGAUGCACGAAAGCGUGGGGAUCAAACAGGAUUAGAUACCCUGGUAGUC